UAUCCCACGGCAACCACAGAAAGCCCUCGGCACGGGACAGCACGUUCUCUGCUCCUCCUUCCUGGUCUCUCCCUCCAUCCUGGGAGGCUUCUGGCUGAAAUGACGGGGUUGCCCUGUACCACAGCAGGAGGGCUACACGGUACGGACAUAAAGCAGAUGCCGAACCAGCUGUGCACUGCUCAAGUACAGCAUGCGAGCUAGAUAGCCAUCGGAAAAGCCCACGGCCAGCUGGUUAGUCCUGCCGAUGUAACAGAGCGCCGACGCAGCUGUCCCGGACGGGCUUGCGAGCUGGAGACCCAGAUGGCGCCCUGCCCGCAUCACGGUCUCUCUGAUGUGCGGCACCUCAGCUGGGAUGCCGGUGACGACUUCAAGGUCUGGAGACACAAAGGGAGUAAGAUUAACAAAUCGUAAAGAGCACAAAAGCGAACGGGUCACCUGCUAGGCAAGCUUCACCCGAAGACCACUGUGGUCAAUUACGACAAGAUCCAUGAUGACAAAGCAGGCUGAACUAUAUGACGGCCACCUGUAUCUGUUCAAAUGCUACGAUUUUCAAAAUA